CCUCCCUCAGAAAAAAAAGAAAAACCUCACUCAGGAUUUGUUUAACCAGUGAUUUAACAAAGGGAUCAGUUUCAGUAUGAAGCAAAUCAGAAAUCGUACAUCUGAAGAAACGAAACCAAAUCUCAAAUUCAUAGAAGAAAGAAACGAAGCCAUGGCGGCUCCAUAACUCAGAGAAAUCGAGAAGAUGAAGAUUAAUCUGCUACUGUGGGUCUGGUGAUUUUGAAAUGCAAGAGACGAAGAAAAGACGAUGAAAAUUGAUAGAGAGACCAAUCUUUCUGUUGAUGAAGAAAUCAGAUCGAGAUGAAAUUGGUUCGACUGAAUUGCAAGAGCUGAAAGAACACUGAUUUGAACCCUAACUUGGUCGUUGCCAUCUUCACUGAAAUCUGGGUAACUGCCCAUACGACCAACACACUAAAACCCCCAUAAAUCUGUUGCCCUCGCUGCUGUAUCUCUCAGACAAACCCAUUUCGGAUCUGGGUUUAGAAAUCCCCAAAUUGAUUGGAAUCUCAACCUGGCUCAAACACCCAUCAAUUCCAUCCAGCAAACUCAUUAUCAGAUCCACCUUCAGCUGCCUUGUCAAACCUUAAUUCUCUCAAGAACAACGAAUUCCAGUUUGAUUUCAUCGAUUCAUAAAUUUAUUUUGCGUGUGUGUUUGAAGAUUAAUUUUUUUUUUUUUAAAUAUUCAAGGGUUCGUGAAAUGGGGAUGUUGGAGGGUGAGAGUGGCGGUUCAUCACCGUCUAUGUCGAUGGUGAAGAAGAAGCUUGGUGUUACAAAUCCAAUUUCAAUUGCUGGUCCGACUGAAUCUGAUUUGCAGAGAAGCUUAGAAUUGGGAAAGGCAUGAGUUUGUGGGGAUUUCGGAUUUGUUUUGUUUGUUUGAUUGUUUUUGUGAAGUUUUUGGUGGAUUCUGGAUUAUACGAAAGUAAAGAAGAAGCUGCUCAAAGAGAAGAGAUUCUGAGUCAGAUCAAUCUGGUAAAAAUUGAGUCAGGAGGAUGAAGCUCGAAACUUUUUUCAACAGAUUAAUUCUGGGGUGGAGUACUGCCACCGGCACAUGGUAGUUCAUCGAGAUCUUAAGCCUGAGAACCUGCUGCUGAUGAUGAGAUAGUAGUGAUGACCACAGCCUUGAAGGAGGAUCCACUGGAAUCAAGAGCAGUGACGAAGAAUAAGGAGACUGUUACGCUCAUGCUUCCACUGAUGAAGACGGAGAUGAAUCAUCUGAAUCACCAUUGUCAUCAUCAUUAUAGGAAGAAGAAGUCAGAGUUGCUGAGAAGAAGAACAAGAAGAAGCGCAGUCAUUUGAGGACUAAAGAUGAGGAUAUCGCAUUGAGAAAUAGAGUCUUUAUCUGUUACCUUCCAUGGUCAUGAUCUCAUAGUGGAUUCUGAAAUGGAGCUCAAUUAUGGCAGGCGUUACGGUUUGCUUGGUUUGAAUGUUUGUGGAAAGUCUACUAUCUUAACUGCAAUUGGAAAAAAGGGAGCCUCCUAUUCUGGAUAUUUACCAUCUGUUAUAAAUUGUGAUGACGAGAGGCUGAAAUUGGAAAAAGAAGCUGAACGUUUGGCUGAACAGGAUGAUGGUGGUGGAGAAGCUCUAGAUCGUGUUUAUGAACGGUUGGAGUCUUUGGAUGUUGCAACAGCUGAGAAACGUGCAGCUUGAAUUCUGUUUGGUCUUGGUUUUGACAAGAAUAUGCAAGCCAAGAAAACACGGGAUAGUUAUGGAAUUAUAGAGUACCAGGAUGUUGAUGCUUGCAGCCCAAGAUGUUGCUGCACGGUGCAAGGGCAAUGCAGGGAGCUGGACAACAGAGGAAGAAACCGCACUGAAAGAAGGUGUCCAGAAGCAUGGUAAAUGAAAUCUCAGCACUUGCUCAAAGAGCUUAAUAUGACUAUGGAGGUGUUCUAUGGACUUCCUAGCCAGGUGCGAGACCAACUUGUAAAGACUCAGCGCAAUGCUGGGACCUUUAAUAUGUUGAUUCAGAAAGAAAGCUUGCUCGUAGCUCUGUAUUUGAGACCAAUAGUGUCAGAUAAAAUCAACUUAGGGAUAGCUGGGAAGAUGGCAAUCCUGGUUCAUGGGGGUCAAGCCUGCAACCAUAGGGGAUUUGGAGAGGCACUUUGAUGCAUAUGGGAAGAUCUUGAAUAUUUUUUUUAGUGUUAUUAGAUUACUAUCUUGGAGAUCUGAUCUUGUUUUCAAAUACAUGGUUAUUAAAGUAUUACAGAUUUAAUUUUGUA